rnacentral:rRNA from 1 species
UACGUAGGAUGCAAGCGUUGUCCGGAAUCAUUGGGCGUAAAGAGCGAGCAGGCGGUUUGGAAAGUUGGACGUGAAAUUUUAGGGCUUAACCCUAAAGGGUCGUCCAAAACUCCCAGACUAGAGUGCAGGAGAGGAAAGCGGAAUUCCCGGUGUAGUGGUGAAAUGCGUAGAUAUCGGGAGGAACACCAGAGGCGAAGGCGGCUUUCUGGCCUGUAACUGACGCUGAGGCGCGAAGGCUGGGGUAGCGAACAGG